rnacentral:rRNA from 1 species
UUUCCAGACUCCUACGGGAGGCAGCAGUGAGGGAUAUUGGUCAAUGGGGGGAACCCUGAACCAGCAACGCCGCGUGAGGGAAGACGGUUUUCGGAUUGUAAACCUCUGUCCUCUGUGAAGAUAAUGACGGUAGCAGAGGAGGAAGCUCCGGCUAACUACGUGCCAGCAGCCGCGGUAAUACGUAGGGAGCGAGCGUUGUCCGGAUUUACUGGGUGUAAAGGGUGCGUAGGCGGCCCUGCAAGUCAGAAGUGAAAUCCAUGGGCUUAACCCGUGAACUGCUUUUGAAACUGCAGGACUUGAGUGGAGUAGAGGUAGGCGGAAUUCCCGGUGUAGCGGUGAAAUGCGUAGAUAUCAGGAGGAACACCGGCGGCGAAGGCGGCCUGCUGGACCGUAACUGACGUUGAGGCUCGAAAGCGUGGGGAGCAAACAGGAUUAGAUACCCCAGUAGUC